rnacentral:rRNA from 1 species
UACGUAGGGUGCAAGCGUUUAAUCGGAAUUACUGGGCGUAAAGCGUGCGCAGGCGGUUAUGUAAGACAGUUGUGAAAUCCCCGGGCUCAACCUGGGAACUGCAUCUGUGACUGCAUAGCUAGAGUACGGUAGAGGGGGAUGGAAUUCCGCGUGUAGCAGUGAAAUGCGUAGAGAUGCGGAGGAACACCGAUGGCGAAGGCAGCCCCCCUGGGCUAACACUGACGCUCAGGCACGAAAGCGUGGGGAGCAAACAGG